rnacentral:rRNA from 1 species
GACGAACGCUGGCGGCGUGCUUAACACAUGCAAGUCGAACGGGCCUGUCUUCUUUUUUGGGGGUGGGUUGAGUGGCGAACGGGUGAGUAUCACGUGAGUAACCUGCCCUUCGGUCCUGGAUAACCGCUUGAAAGGGCGGCUAAUACGGGGUGGUCCGGUUGGUCCGCAUGGGCUGGUCGGGAUAGAUUCACUGUUUUUGGUGUUUCGGCGGGGGAUGGGCUCGCGGCCUAUCAGCUUGUUGGUGGGGUGAUGGCCUACCAAGGCGGUGACGGGUAGCCGGCCUGAGAGGGUGGGCGGCCACACUGGGACUGGGGUACGGCCCAGACUCCUGCGGGAGGCAGCAGUGGGGGGUAUUACACAAUGGGCGGAAGCCUGAUGCAGCGACGUCGCGUGAGGGAUGGAGGCCUUCGGGUUGUGAACCUCUGUUUCCGGUGGUGAAGGCCCUGUCCGUGUGGUGGGGUUGACGGUAGCCGGGGAUGAAGCGCCGGCUAACUACGUG